UGCCAGGUUUUCCUCAGAUGCCUUCUUUUCAUUUUUUUUUUUAUUGGUAGGAAACAAAACAGCCUGAAUACAGUUGUUCUCCCACCCCAAAACUUUCCACCUUCAGACAGGGGAGAACAUACCAUUCAUCAUACUGUACAUUUCCUUUGUAGUAAAUAUUAGUGGUUUUAAUUACCAAAUUUUGUUGACUCAACGUAAUAUGCAGUUUGGGAGUUGAAAGGAGCGUGAGUAACUAAAAUCACCUCCCAUUUUCCAGGAACUUUGUUCCCUAAAUGCAGGAAGUUGUAAAAUCUCUGAUAGCAAAUCUGAUUGAUCCACGGGGCCACACUGCAAAUGACGGUCUGCUGGGGCGUCAGUGUCUCGAUGAAAAAGAGCCAAGAGAUGAAGUCAGGGCGGCUCAGCCGUCAAUCUUUACUCUGAAAUUAGGGAAGGCUCUGGGAUCCUCAUGUAGUCGCUCUGAUACAUGGGAAAGACACUGGUUUUGCCUGCUAGCCGUGCUGACCAAUUCUCUUCAUAUUUAUAUUGACUGUCGCUUUAAGAAGGAAGGCAAGAAGGCUUGAUUUGGACAGAGCUGUAAAGCAGACUGAUGUCGGUAAGACCUGAUAGUACAUGAAACAUGAGCAUUGGUGUUGUGGGAAUGGUCUUUCAUUUAGUAUUGGAAGGGGGGACCAGUAGCAACCAGGACAGCAAGAAUGGCAUGUAAGUCAUCCUGUUCUCACAUAAUUUUGAUUUCCUCAGUCAGAACUAUAUAUUUGGGAAGCUUUUCAUUCCAAAUGACUUGGAGAUUAUGAGUAUUUGGAUGGUGACAUACAUCAAAAAUGUAGUUCUUAUAUUCUGGUGAAUCGAUGUUAUAUCCAGGAUGUUGGGGGUAAUGGUUUAACGGUCUAUGGUAACGGGCCAGCCAGCCAGUCAGUCAACAAGCAUUUGUUAAAUGCUUUGUUGUUGUUCAGUCACAUCCAGUUGUUUGUGACCUCAUUAGGAGUUUUCUUGGUAGAGAUGCUAGAGCUGGAGCUCUUCAGCUCAUUUUACAGAUGAG
rnacentral:lncRNA from 1 species